UAGUGGUUAGCCAAAAUGGUAAGGCAUUAAGUUUUGAUCUUAAGAUUGUGGGUUCGAUUCCCGCACCUCUAA
rnacentral:tRNA from 1 species